rnacentral:rRNA from 1 species
GAUGAACGCUGGCGGCGUGCCUAAUACAUGCAAGUCGAGCGAACAGACGAGGAGCUUGCUCCUCUGACGUUAGCGGCGGACGGGUGAGUAACACGUGGAUAACCUACCUAUAAGACUGGGAUCACUUCGGGAAACCGGAGCUAAUACCGGAUAAUAUAUUGAACCGCAUGGUUCAAUAGUGAAAGACGGUUUUGCUGUCACUUAUAGAUGGAUCCGCGCCGCAUUAGCUAGUUGGUAAGGUAACAGCUUACCAAGGCAACGAUGCGUAGCCGACCUGAGAGGGUGAUCGGCCACACUGGAACUGAGACACGGUCCAGACUCCUACGGGAGGCAGCAGUAGGGAAUAUUCCGCAAUGGGCGAAAGCCUGACGGAGCAACGCCGCGUGAGUGAUGAAGGUCUUCGGAUCGUAAAGCUCUGUUAUUAGGGAAGAACAAAUGUGUAAGUAACUAUGCACGUCUUGACGGUACCUAAUCAGAAAGCCACGGCUAACUACGUG